GGGCAUUGCCCUAGUAACGGCGAGUGAAGCGGCAACAGCUCAAAUUUGAAAUCUGGCUCUCGGGCCCGAGUUGUAAUUUGUAGAGGAUGCUUUUGAUGCGGUGCCUUCCGAGUUCCCUGGAACGGGACGCCAUAGAGGGUGAGAGCCCCGUCUGGUUGGAUGCCAAAUCUCUGUAAAGCUCCUUCGACGAGUCGAGUAGUUUGGGAAUGCUGCUCUAAAUGGGAGGUAUAUGUCUUCUAAAGCUAAAUACCGGCCAGAGACCGAUAGCGCACAAGUAGAGUGAUCGAAAGAUGAAAAGCACUUUGAAAAGAGAGUUAAAAAGUACGUGAAAUUGUUGAAAGGGAAGCGUUUAUGACCAGACUUGGGCUUGGUUAAUCAUCUGGGGUUCUCCCCAGUGCACUUUUCCAGUCCAGGCCAGCAUCAGUUUUCGCCGGGGGAUAAAGGCUUCGGGAAUGUGGCUCUCUCCGGGGAGUGUUAUAGCCCGUUGCGUAAUACCCUGGCGGGGACUGAGGUUCGCGCAUCUGCAAGGAUGCUGGCGUAAUGGUCAUCAACGACCCGUCUUGAACACACGGACC
rnacentral:rRNA from 1 species